UACGUAGGGUGCGAGCGUUGUCCGGAAUUAUUGGGCGUAAAGGGCUCGUAGGCGGUUUGUCGCGUCGGGAGUGAAAUCCACUGGCUUAACUGGUGGCUUGCUUUCGAUACGGGCAGACUGGAGGUAUGCAGGGGAGACUGGAAUUCCUGGUGUAGCGGUGAAAUGCGCAGAUAUCAGGAGGAACACCGGUGGCGAAGGCGGCAUCCUGGACCGGCAUUGACGCUGAGGAGCGAAAGCCAGGGGAGCAAACGGG
rnacentral:rRNA from 1 species